UGUCAUUUAAUCUUGAAAGCCAGCUUUGCC
rnacentral:piRNA from 1 species